UUCCAAACAUUAUUUUAGAUGUCACCUCAAGUUAUCACACUGUACCUGCUAAUUAUGAAAGGUGUAUUUUUAGCCUCCAUUUUCCAAUGUCCAUUAAAUAAAACAGAAUGGGAAAACAAAUCAAAGAAGUUCUUUUGUCAAGGAAAUGAAGCAUACCAUUGUUUUCUUAUGGAAGAUACAUUGUCUAGAAGAGAAAGCUGUAUUGGACUUACUAAGAUCGCUAAAGGAUACUGUCCAAUAUUCACAACAACUGGCUUCUUACAUUGGAGACUAUGUAAUAUGACAG